rnacentral:rRNA from 1 species
GGGGAAUUUUGGACAAUGGGCGCAAGCCUGAUCCAGCCAUGCCGCGUGCAGGAAGAAGGCCUUCGGGUUGUAAACUGCUUUUGUCAGGGAAGAAAUCCUUUGGGUUAAUACCUCGGAGGGAUGACGGUACCUGAAGAAUAAGCACCGGCUAACUACGUGCCAGCAGCCGCGGUAAUACGUAGGGUGCAAGCGUUAAUCGGAAUUACUGGGCGUAAAGCGUGCGCAGGCGGUUAUGCAAGACAGAGGUGAAAUCCCCGGGCUCAACCUGGGAACUGCCUUUGUGACUGCAUGACUAGAGUACGGCAGAGGGAGAUGGAAUUCCGCGUGUAGCAGUGAAAUGCGUAGAUAUGCGGAGGAACACCGAUGGCGAAGGCAAUCUCCUGGGCCUGUACUGACGCUCAUGCACGAAAGCGUGGGGAGCAAAC